rnacentral:rRNA from 1 species
AACGAACGCUGGCGGCAGGCCUAACACAUGCAAGUCGAGCGCCCCGCAAGGGGAGCGGCGGACGGGUGAGUAACGCGUGGGAACGUACCCUUUGCUACGGAAUAGCCUCGGGAAACUGGGAGUAAUACCGUAUGUGCCCUUCGGGGGAAAGAUUUAUCGGCAAAGGAUCGGCCCGCGUUGGAUUAGGUAGUUGGUGGGGUAAUGGCCUACCAAGCCGACGAUCCAUAGCUGGUUUGAGAGGAUGAUCAGCCACACUGGGACUGAGACACGGCCCAGACUCCUACGGGAGGCAGCAGUGGGGGAAUCUUAGACAAAUGGGCGCAAGCCUGAUCUAGCCAUGCCGCGUGAGCGAUGAAGGCCUUAGGGUUGUAAAGCUCUUUCAGUGGGAAGAUAAUGACUGUACCACAGAAGAAGA